UACGAAGGGGGGCUAGCGUUGUUCGGAUUUACUGGGCGUAAAGCGCACGUAGGCGGAUCGAUCAGUCAGGGGUGAAAUCCCAGAGCUCAACUCUGGAACUGCCUUUGAUACUGUCGAUCUGGAGUAUGGAAGAGGUGAGUGGAAUUCCGAGUGUAGAGGUGAAAUUCGUAGAUAUUCGGAGGAACACCAGUGGCGAAGGCGGCUCACUGGUCCAUUACUGGCGCUGAGGUGCGAAAGCGUGGGGAGCAAACGG
rnacentral:rRNA from 1 species